CAGUAAGGUUUUUACAUAACAGUAGUACAUAUUACAUACGUACAUAACUUUUUUUUACAGGAAUUUCCAACCAAGUUUGAUUAUGUACAUAUGUACAUGUUAUAAACCACUGUACGUAUGGUUACUGUAUGUAACUUACUAAACAUACAUAACAUGACUUAACUUUGAUACUUUUUUGGUACAUUCCAGAAAACCAGGACCCCCUCCAUGAUGCAGGCUAUGGGGCCACAUAAAACUUUGUCCAGGGUUACUACAUAACAUAGAACGACAACUGUAAACUAUGUACUACUGUACUAAAGAACCCCCUGAAUGAUGUAGGCUAUGGGGCCACAUAAGACUUUGUCCAUCCAGGGUUACAUUGAAAGACAACUUUAAACUAAAGAGCUACCAGACUGGGAUUUUAGUGUAUCAAGGAUCUAACAAAGUGUGCAAUGCAUGUGUAUACGUAUACAGUGACAGUGUUUAGUGUAUACCCAUAAGGAUUAAGUGUAGUGUACAUUGUGCUUUUUAGUGUCACAAGAGUUUAAUAAAGAAUUAUACCUUCAAGAACCAUCCUUUGCCAUUGGAAUAACCACACUACACAUCAUGCAAUCUACUUGCAUGUCACACAGGUAAGGUCUCUAACUUUUUCUUAGUUUAAGGCAUAUUUCCAAGUGUCGUUCCGGCUUACGACGAUUUUCGGCUUACGACGCGCCUCAAGAACGGAACCCCCGU